CUAAAGCUUAUUAAAAAACUAAUAACAAAAACUAGCUUCUUUUAAAAUUUCAAAAUAAAGAAAUAUAAAUAUAAAAAAUAGUAUAAAAAAUUCCAUAUCAAUUUUGAAAUUCACCACCCAAUAACUCCAACAAUAUUGUCUCACAAAUUCAAACACACCUCUAUUGUCAUAGCUUAUCUUCUUAUAUACUAAGAUUUGUUAAAAAGCUAACAAUAAGAUCUAUCUUUUCUCCAAAUCUCAGCACAAAAUGAUAAAAUUAUAAUAACAAAUGUAGAAAAUUCCAAACCAAUCUCAAAUCUUCUUGUUCAAAAAAUCCAGCAACCUCCC
rnacentral:lncRNA from 1 species